ACAGGCUGUCACCAGGAUAAUUAACAAAGCAUGAGGGAUAAUGUCUGGACUUUUCCAGUUACCUUUGAAACUAUGAAAAGACAAUUCUCUUCCACUGCUUUUCCCAGUUUUGUAAAUGCUCCUCAAUGUUCAGUUAUAAUUGUACACAAAAUCAAAGGAUCCUCAGGAUCAACACCUUAGAAACCAAAUGAAUCUAAAAUUGACUCAACCUGGGAUGGAAGACAUUAAAAAGAAGUAAAAGACAGUGCUACAUAUUCAUGAGGUUUUACAGAGGGCAGCACAGCAGCUUAGCAGCUUUUUGGGAGCACAGUUCAAGGGGGAAGAUGUUCUGUCUCUAAGGCCAUCCAUGGUUGCUUUUCAGUGGCUGUGAACAGAUGUUGCACAGCUCUGCCACUGCAAACCAGCCCAGAGAGACUGAUUCCUGAGCCAAGGAUCUUGCACUGAUAACAUUGCUGAUAAACCCCUGAGAAGGGACACGAUGAGCCGCUGGAACUGCUCCCUCCCUGGCCACUGAAGGGCUGCCUCCCAGAAGAUGGAGCUGUUUGCCUGAGACUGCUGAUGGAGACCUUCCUCCCAAACCGUCACAUUCUGAACUGGAGGGAUCCUGGCAAAGUGGUUCCUAUGGGUGCUCUGGGGGGCGGCAGAGCCAGGGCUGUGCCUGGACAGCAGCAGCUUCACCCACACCUACAGACGUGCCCAGUGCCAGCUUGCACCAGCCCCUGGGCUUUCAUCUGGAGUGAAGAAACUGGACAGGAAUGACAGAACUCACACAAGUCAUGCUGGGGUGUUCUGGACCAGCACUGCUGCCUCUGCCCUCACACUGCAGCUGCAACAGGGCUGCCCCUCACUGUCCCUUGCUGUUCCUGCUCCAUCUGGAGCAUUCCCGGCCGUGCUGAGCAGGAUGUGGUGCUCUCAGGGAGAGGUGAGUCAGGACCAGCUCCCUGUACCAUGGUUCCCACCUGAAAAGUGAGUAGAAAGUUGUUCCUUCCGUCUAUUCUUUGACAGCAGUAAAAAUGUUUGAGGUUGGUUGGGGUUUUCCAGGUUUGAUUUUGGUUUUUAUUUUUUGCUUGUGGGAGUUUCCCAAGGAGGCUCAUGCCCACACAGGGCUGUAGGAGCAGGAAUCCCUCCCUCUGGC